GAAGAUUCCGUGGCAGUAACUCCUUCACAGGAAACCGUGGAACUUGACAGAAGAGGAAUUGGGGUAGGAAACGGGAAAGGGCCUCCUUUACCAUCACAGAGUUUUCAUCAAUCCCAAAAGGAGGCCUUCAGAGGAAAAUGAAAUAACCCCAGUGUAGGAAUGAGAAGAGAUGAAAACAUGCUGCAACAUCUGUUUCUGAAAACGUAGGGUAGACAUCACAGCCGUGAGGAGCUGGAAGGUUCAGAGGUCUGCGGUUACCAGCUACUUGUGUAGAUGAGAACUCGGCAAGGCUCAGUGGAGGAAGUUGCGGAAAGAACUGUUGUUGGUUGUUCUCCGUCAAGUUCUGCAACACUCCCUCAUCAGUCUUACAGGUGUGGCAAGCUGUUGUGUCUGGGCUGGUGGUUCCAGUCCCCAGUAAGCUCCCAAUCCUUUCCCUUCACCAAAGUCAGAGGGAAUCUCUGGUCAUAUCACCUUGCUUUUUUCACAAACCUAUACACUGAAGUGCAUAGAGAAGCUGUGUAGUAGGACAGACACUAUGGCCAGUGGCCUGUUUUGUGUAUGUGGAGAUAAGGAAGCCAGAAAACCAAAACCACUGAGUGGAUGAAGACUAUGACCCUUUGAAUGGAGUUGGGCCACAUGCUGAGUCCUGCCCAACGAGUUGUGAGGGGGUCCACCCCUGUUCUAAAGAGCAGCGGGAUUGACACUGAGGGCUCAAUCCGGCCCGGGACACGCUACAAGGAGAGCUUGCUGUCUCCCCAGCGGAUGCUUGCUGACUCCCUGAUCAGCGCUGGCCUCAAGCCUGCCCUCCUCCUUCCCCUCCCACAUGGGCAGAGGCUGUGGGCUGUAGCUGGCCGCUCACCUGGAACGCCUCCGGCUGCUGAAGGGCUGGAUGGAGGCUCCGAGACAACCUGAUGGAUCAUCUCAUAAACAGAGCCCGCAGGAAGGAAAAGAAAAUUAUGCCAGCAGAAUGCACUUAUGAGAAAUAGAUAUGUGCGGUGCAGGGAGAAAUGCUUUGAUAUUAAAAUUUUUGUAACUUAAAAAGGCAUGAAAAAUGAUACCGACCACUAACUAAUCAA
rnacentral:lncRNA from 1 species